UACGAGGGGGGCUAGCGUUGCUCGGAAUCACUGGGCGUAAAGGGUGCGUAGGCGGGUCUUUAAGUCAGGGGUGAAAUCCUGGAGCUCAACUCCAGAACUGCCUUUGAUACUGAGGAUCUUGAGUUCGGGAGAGGUGAGUGGAACUGCGAGUGUAGAGGUGAAAUUCGUAGAUAUUCGCAAGAACACCAGUGGCGAAGGCGGCUCACUGGCCCGAUACUGACGCUGAGGCACGAAAGCUAGGGGAGCAAACGGG
rnacentral:rRNA from 1 species